AUUUCGCUGGUUUCUCCUCUUCUCGUUGUUUCAUUUGAGGUCGAGAUUCACCGAAAGUUCCUCUGGUUUGUGAUCAGGAGGGAGAGGUGGUGUCGCGCGAAAGCUGAUCGCCGGUUCGGGAGUGUAAAUGACUCGCUGGGUGUGACAUCUUGCAAAAAUGUUGGUUACCUCCAUUGUCUAUCAAGGAUCUCGUUAUUCUUCCAUCAUCUUGUGGGGCUAACUUGCCAUCCGAUACCAUUAGAAACGAUGUUUCUUGCACAAUCUUCCUCUGAUUGCAACUUGAGCAACUUACUGGGAGCACUUUUAUAUAUGGAUCCUGUCAUUUGCAAGGACCAGAAUGAUUGCAACGAGGAGUGGUUGGCCGUCCCUGCCCGGUCGACCUACGCACAACCAGUAAAGCCUUUUGAGGUCGUCAAGCUUGGCACCAUCUCGACUCCGAUGCCAUGCUUAGAAAACAAGGCGUUCCUCGUUCGAUUCCCACGUUUUUCAUUAUUCCAAUGUUUUGUACCCCCGUCAAAGUAGUGAUUGAUGUCUUCUGUGUAUAGUGCCAGAAUUAUUUGUCCGGCAGCCGUCGUCAUUUUUGCAUGUCGAUCAUAGUACAAGCGUCUCGACCUU